AUUGAACGCUGGCGGCAUGCUUUACACAUGCAAGUCGAACGGUAACAGGGUGCUUGCACCGCUGACGAGUGGCGAACGGGUGAGUAAUGCGUCGGAACGUGCCGAGUAGUGGGGGAUAACGCAGCGAAAGUUGUGCUAAUACCGCAUACGUACUGAGGUAGAAAGUGGGGGACCUUCGGGCCUCACGCUAUUCGAGCGGCCGACGUCUGAUUAGCUAGUAGGUGAGGUAAAGGCUCACCUAGGCGACGAUCAGUAGCGGGUCUGAGAGGAUGAUCCGCCACACUGGGACUGAGACACGGCCCAGACUCCUACGGGAGGCAGCAGUGGGGAAUUUUGGACAAUGGGCGAAAGCCUGAUACAGCCAUGCCGCGUGUCUGAAGAAGGUCUUCGGGUUGUAAAGGACUUUUGUCAGGGAGGAAAUCCCUAGUGCUAAUAACACUGGGGGAUGACAGUACCUGAAGAAUAAGCACCGGCUAACUACGUGCCAGCAGCCGCAGUAA
rnacentral:rRNA from 1 species